GGGUUGUGAGGUUAAGCGACUAAGCGUACACGGUGGAUGCCCUGGCAGUCAGAGGCGAUGAAGGACGUGCUAAUCUGCGAUAAGCGUCGGUAAGGUGAUAUGAACCGUUAUAACCGGCGAUUUCCGAAUGGGGAAACCCAGUGUGUUUCGACACACUAUCAUUAACUGAAUCCAUAGGUUAAUGAGGCGAACCGGGGGAACUGAAACAUCUAAGUACCCCGAGGAAAAGAAAUCAACCGAGAUUCCCCCAGUAGCGGCGAGCGAACGGGGAGGAGCCCAGAGCCUGAAUCAGUGUGUGUGUUAGUGGAAGCGUCUGGAAAGGCGCGCGAUACAGGGUGACAGCCCCGUACACAAAAAUGCACAUAUUGUGAGCUCGAUGAGUAGGGCGGGACACGUGGUAUCCUGUCUGAAUAUGGGGGGACCAUCCUCCAAGGCUAAAUACUCCUGACUGACCGAUAGUGAACCAGUACCGUGAGGGAAAGGCGAAAAGAACCCCGGCGAGGGGAGUGAAAAAGAACCUGAAACCGUGUACGUACAAGCAGUGGGAGCACGCUUAGGCGUGUGACUGCGUACCUUUUGUAUAAUGGGUCAGCGACUUAUAUUCUGUAGCAAGGUUAACCGAAUAGGGGAGCCGAAGGGAAACCGAGUCUUAACUGGGCGUUAAGUUGCAGGGUAUAGACCCGAAACCCGGUGAUCUAGCCAUGGGCAGGUUGAAGGUUGGGUAACACUAACUGGAGGACCGAACCGACUAAUGUUGAAAAAUUAGCGGAUGACUUGUGGCUGGGGGUGAAAGGCCAAUCAAACCGGGAGAUAGCUGGUUCUCCCCGAAAGCUAUUUAGGUAGCGCCUCGUGAAUUCAUCUCCGGGGGUAGAGCACUGUUUCGGCAAGGGGGUCAUCCCGACUUACCAACCCGAUGCAAACUGCGAAUACCGGAGAAUGUUAUCACGGGAGACACACGGCGGGUGCUAACGUCCGUCGUGAAGAGGGAAACAACCCAGACCGCCAGCUAAGGUCCCAAAGUCAUGGUUAAGUGGGAAACGAUGUGGGAAGGCCCAGACAGCCAGGAUGUUGGCUUAGAAGCAGCCAUCAUUUAAAGAAAGCGUAAUAGCUCACUGGUCGAGUCGGCCUGCGCGGAAGAUGUAACGGGGCUAAACCAUGCACCGAAGCUGCGGCAGCGACGCUUAUGCGUUGUUGGGUAGGGGAGCGUUCUGUAAGCCUGCGAAGGUGUGCUGUGAGGCAUGCUGGAGGUAUCAGAAGUGCGAAUGCUGACAUAAGUAACGAUAAAGCGGGUGAAAAGCCCGCUCGCCGGAAGACCAAGGGUUCCUGUCCAACGUUAAUCGGGGCAGGGUGAGUCGACCCCUAAGGCGAGGCCGAAAGGCGUAGUCGAUGGGAAACAGGUUAAUAUUCCUGUACUUGGUGUUACUGCGAAGGGGGGACGGAGAAGGCUAUGUUGGCCGGGCGACGGUUGUCCCGGUUUAAGCGUGUAGGCUGGUUUUCCAGGCAAAUCCGGAAAAUCAAGGCUGAGGCGUGAUGACGAGGCACUACGGUGCUGAAGCAACAAAUGCCCUGCUUCCAGGAAAAGCCUCUAAGCAUCAGGUAACAUCAAAUCGUACCCCAAACCGACACAGGUGGUCAGGUAGAGAAUACCAAGGCGCUUGAGAGAACUCGGGUGAAGGAACUAGGCAAAAUGGUGCCGUAACUUCGGGAGAAGGCACGCUGAUAUGUAGGUGAAGUCCCUUGCGGAUGGAGCUGAAAUCAGUCGAAGAUACCAGCUGGCUGCAACUGUUUAUUAAAAACACAGCACUGUGCAAACACGAAAGUGGACGUAUACGGUGUGACGCCUGCCCGGUGCCGGAAGGUUAAUUGAUGGGGUCAGCGCAAGCGAAGCUCUUGAUCGAAGCCCCGGUAAACGGCGGCCGUAACUAUAACGGUCCUAAGGUAGCGAAAUUCCUUGUCGGGUAAGUUCCGACCUGCACGAAUGGCGUAAUGAUGGCCAGGCUGUCUCCACCCGAGACUCAGUGAAAUUGAACUCGCUGUGAAGAUGCAGUGUACCCGCGGCAAGACGGAAAGACCCCGUGAACCUUUACUAUAGCUUGACACUGAACAUUGAGCCUUGAUGUGUAGGAUAGGUGGGAGGCUUUGAAGUGUGGACGCCAGUCUGCAUGGAGCCGACCUUGAAAUACCACCCUUUAAUGUUUGAUGUUCUAACGUUGACCCGUAAUCCGGGUUGCGGACAGUGUCUGGUGGGUAGUUUGACUGGGGCGGUCUCCUCCUAAAGAGUAACGGAGGAGCACGAAGGUUGGCUAAUCCUGGUCGGACAUCAGGAGGUUAGUGCAAUGGCAUAAGCCAGCUUGACUGCGAGCGUGACGGCGCGAGCAGGUGCGAAAGCAGGUCAUAGUGAUCCGGUGGUUCUGAAUGGAAGGGCCAUCGCUCAACGGAUAAAAGGUACUCCGGGGAUAACAGGCUGAUACCGCCCAAGAGUUCAUAUCGACGGCGGUGUUUGGCACCUCGAUGUCGGCUCAUCACAUCCUGGGGCUGAAGUAGGUCCCAAGGGUAUGGCUGUUCGCCAUUUAAAGUGGUACGCGAGCUGGGUUUAGAACGUCGUGAGACAGUUCGGUCCCUAUCUGCCGUGGGCGCUGGAGAACUGAGGGGGGCUGCUCCUAGUACGAGAGGACCGGAGUGGACGCAUCACUGGUGUUCGGGUUGUCAUGCCAAUGGCACUGCCCGGUAGCUAAAUGCGGAAGAGAUAAGUGCUGAAAGCAUCUAAGCACGAAACUUGCCCCGAGAUGAGUUCUCCCUGACUCCUUGAGAGUCCUGAAGGAACGUUGAAGACGACGACGUUGAUAGGCCGGGUGUGUAAGCGCAGCGAUGCGUUGAGCUAACCGGUACUAAUGAACCGUGAGGCUUAACCUUACAACGCCGAAGGUGUUU
rnacentral:rRNA from 1 species